CAGCCGCCGCGGUAAUACGUAGGUGGCAAGCGUUGUCCGGAUUUAUUGGGCGUAAAGCGAGCGCAGGCGGUUCUUUAAGUCUGAUGUGAAAGCCCCCGGCUCAACCGGGGAGGGUCAUUGGAAACUGGAGAACUUGAGUGCAGAAGAGGAGAGUGGAAUUCCACGUGUAGCGGUGAAAUGCGUAGAUAUGUGGAGGAACACCAGUGGCGAAGGCGACUCUCUGGUCUGUAACUGACGCUGAGGCUCGAAAGCGUGGGGAGCAAACAGGAUUAGAUACCCUGGUAGUCCACGCCGUAAACGAUGAGUGCUAAGUGUUGGAGGGGUUCCGCCCUUCAGUGCUGCAGCUAACGCAUUAAGCACUCCGCCUGGGGAGUACGACCGCAAGGUUGAAACUUAAAGGAAUUGGCGGG
rnacentral:rRNA from 1 species